rnacentral:rRNA from 1 species
AUUGAACGCUGGCGGCAUGCCUUACACAUGCAAGUCGAACGGUAACGCGGGGCAACCUGGCGACGAGUGGCGAACGGGUGAGUAAUGUAUCGGAACGUGCCCAGUUGUGGGGGAUAACUGCUCGAAAGAGCAGCUAAUACCGCAUACGACCUGAGGGUGAAAGCGGGGGAUCGCAAGACCUCGCGCAGUUGGAGCGGCCGAUAUCAGAUUAGGUAGUUGGUGGGGUAAAGGCUCACCAAGCCAACGAUCUGUAGCUGGUCUGAGAGGACGACCAGCCACACUGGGACUGAGACACGGCCCAGACUCCUACGGGAGGCAGCGGUGGGGAAUUUUGGACAAUGGGGGCAACCCUGAUCCAGCCAUGCCGCGUGCGGGAAGAAGGCCUUCGGGUUGUAAACCGCUUUUGUCAGGGAAGAAAAGACUCCUGUUAAUACCGGGGGUUCAUGACGGUACCUGAAGAAUAAGCACCGGCUAACUACGUGCCAGCCGCCGCAGUAAUAC